AUUGUUAAAAGGCCCUGGAACGGGAUGGAAUCCGAAGCCUUCUAAAGAUUCCAUCCAAUUCCUAUUCCGACACGUCCACGUCGUGCAGGGUGGUAACAUGGAUCUAAACCUAACCUUUUGGGCGGGUGACGACUCAUGGCUAAGGAGGAAGCG
rnacentral:ribozyme from 1 species